UAGGUGAACCUGCGGAGGGAUCAUUACACAAUAAAAUAUGAAGGCCUGGCUUCGCGGCCGGCUGAAAUAUUUUUUCACCCAUGUCUUUUGCGCACUUGUUGUUUCCUGGGCGGGUUCGCCCGCCACCAGGACCAAACCAUAAACCUUUUUCUUAUGCAGUUUCCAUCAGCGUCAGUAAAAACAAUGUAAUAAUUACAACUUUCAACAACGGAUCUCUUGGUUCUGGCAUCGAUGAAGAACGCAGCGAAAUGCGAUACGUAGUGUGAAUUGCAGAAUUCAGUGAAUCAUCGAAUCUUUGAACGCACAUUGCGCCCUUUGGUAUUCCAAAGGGCAUGCCUGUUCGAGCGUCAUUUGUACCUUCAAGCUUUGCUUGGUGUUGGGCGUUUUUGUCUCCCUCUUUCUGGGAGACUCGCCUUAAAACGAUUGGCAGCCGGCCUACUGGUUUCGGAGCGCAGCACAUUUUUUGCGCUUUGUAUCAGGAGAAAAGGACGGUACUCCAUCAAGACUUUUACAAUUUUAACUUUUGACCUCGGAUCAGGUAGGGAUACCCGCUGAACUUAAGCAUAUCAAAAAGGGGGGGAGAA
rnacentral:rRNA from 1 species